rnacentral:rRNA from 1 species
ACCAGACUCCUACGGGAGGCAGCAGUGGGGGAUAUUGCACAAUGGGGGAAACCCUGAUGCAGCGACGCCGCGUGAGUGAAGAAGUAUUUCGGUAUGUAGAGCUCUAUCAGCAGGGAAGAAAAAAGACGGUACCUGACUAAGAAGCCCCGGCUAACUACGUGCCAGCAGCCGCGGUAAUACGUAGGGGGCAAGCGUUAUCCGGAUUUACUGGGUGUAAAGGGGGCGCAGACGGCGAUGCAAGCCAGGAGUGAAAGCCCGGGGCCCAACCCCGGGACUGCUCUUGGAACUGCGUGGCUGGAGUGCAGGAGGGGCAGGCGGAAUUCCUGGUGUAGCGGUGAAAUGCGUAGAUAUCAGGAGGAACACCGGUGGCGAAGGCGGCCUGCUGGACUGCAACUGACGUUGAGGCCCGAAAGCGUGGGGAGCAAACAGGAUUAGAUACCCCAGUAGU